CAGUCGCCGCGGUAAUACGUAGGGUGCGAGCGUUAAUCGGAAUUACUGGGCGUAAAGCGUGCGCAGGCGGUUUUGUAAGACAGAGGUGAAAUCCACGGGCUCAACCUGGGAACUGCCUUUGUGACUGCAAGGCUAGAGUACGGCAGAGGGGGAUGGAAUUCCGCGUGUAGCAGUGAAAUGCGUAGAUAUGCGGAGGAACACCGAUGGCGAAGGCAAUCCCCUGGGCCUGUACUGACGCUCAUGCACGAAAGCGUGGGGAGCAAACAGGAUUAGAUACCCGAGUAGUCCCUGUCUCUUAUAA
rnacentral:rRNA from 1 species